rnacentral:rRNA from 1 species
AUUAGAUACCCUGGUAGUCCAUGCCGUAAACGAUGAGUGCUAAGUGUCCGUAGGUUUCCGCCUCUCAGUGCUGCAGCUAACGCAUUAAGCACUCCGCCUGGGGAGUACGACCGCAAGGUUGAAACUCAAAGGAAUUGACGGGGGCCCGCACAAGCGGUGGAGCAUGUGGUUUAAUUCGAGGCAACGCGAAGAACCUUACCUACCCUUGACAUGUCAGGAAGCUCUUGUAAUGAGAGUGUGCCCGCAAGGGAGCCUGAACACAGGUGCUGCAUGGCUGUCGUCAGCUCGUGCCGUGAGGUGUCGGCUUAAGUGCCAUAACGAGCGCAACCCCCAUCGACAGUUGCUAACAGGUAAAGCUGAGGACUCUGUCGAGACUGCCGGCGCAAGCUGUGAGGAAGGCGGGGAUGACGUCAAAUCAGCACGGCCCUUACGUCCGGGGCGACACACGUGUUACAAUGGCAGGGACAGCGGGAAGCCAUCCGGCGACGGAGAGCGGAACCCGAACCCUGUCUCAGUUCGGAUUGGAGUCUGCAACUCGACUCCAUGAAGCUGGAUUCGCUAGUAAUCGCGCAUCAGCCAUGCCGCGGUGAAUACGUUUCCCGGGCCUUGUACACACCGCCCGUCAAGCCAUGAAAGCCGG